UCCGAUUUUUACAUCCGUUCCGUCAAAAGUCAAUCUCAUUAAAAAUGAUAUAUAUGUUCAUAGUGCGUCCGUUCCGAUACCUUCCGUCUUGAAAACGGAUCCGGCAAAUUUUGAAGUCAAAACAUUUUGACUUUUUGAUCCGGCAAAUUUUAUAAAGCGUUAUAACGUUACUUAUAAUUUUUUUAUAGUUAUAAAUUAUAGAUAAAUCUAGGUUAACAAUUUGGUGAAUCAGAUUUAAUUGAAGCUGUAAGAGGAUCUAAAUUUAUAUAUGAUAAAUUUGAUGAAAGUUACAAGGAUUCACGCAAAAAAUCAGAAUUUUGGAUAAAUAUAGGCCUACAAUUUGGUGAAUCAUGUGAUGAGUUAAAGACUAGAUGGAACAAUCUAAGAGAUAACCAAAAUAAAGAAUAUAAAAAAACUCUGGAUAAACCUAGUGGUUCAGCAGGACCACCAUAAAUAUCUGUAUGGCCGUAUUAUGAAGCAUUAUCUUUUUUAAACAAAACAUUAACACCUAAACACAAAUAUCCAACAUAACCAUAUCAAAUUCGACUCCGCUGUAUGAUAUCACCACAGAUGAAAAUAUAUAUGUAGAAAAAGAUAUUUCAAAAUCGAAUAAAAAAGGAGAAACAAAUUAUAGAGAAAAAUUAUUUGAAAAAAUAAUAAAAAUAGAGGAGGAUAAAAAGAGGUAUCCUCCUUUGCUAAAUUUAUAGAUGAAGAAUUGUCAUCUUUACCACAGGAUCACAAAGAUAAAGUGAAAAUGAACAUUAUUCAAAUGAUUUUUUUAUAUAAAAGUCAAUUAAAAAAAUAAAUUAUAUAUUUUUAAAUAUUUUUAUUUUUAAAAUAUAUUAUAAUUGUUAAACAUAUUAUAAAUUUUUUAUUACAAAAUAAUAAAUAUUUGCUUUGUGCUUUUUAAACUUAGCCUGACCUAUAAUUAUAUCAUUUUAAGUACCAUAUUAGGAAAGGUCUGAUAAAAAUAAAUUUGAUUAGUCAAGGCUAGUGUUGUUAAAUGGCUCGUUUUGAGCCGAUUUUUAAAAACGGCUAACUCAAUACUUCAUCCAGAAAAAUAUUACGCAAGCCUGAAGAUUUUGCUCAUUGAAGGAACAAAGGUCUAUACAUGUAUUAUCGAAAUCUCUGGG